UAUCGGGAUAAGGAGAUAUGGACGAUGCAAGUUGGGCUGGCAGGGCAGCAAGUUUGGACCCGACCCAAACACUCACAUUUCGGCCCAUGAGGCCCAUUAAACUCAAUAGAUAAGUCACCACUUUGCCCUAUAUCAUUUCACACGACCUAAAUCAGAUCCAAAACCCUUAUUUUCUCUCCCAAACCCCCUUUCUAAUUGAGCCAUCAUAUAAGCUAAAUCCUAGACCCUUGACAUGAUAUUAGUUAAAGAGAAGUUGUAGCUUAAGUUUUUUUUUGUGUUGUUAAGCAAGCAGCUGGAAAGAGGAACAAGAUUCUUGAAGAUUCUGAUUUCUAAAGGUAAUUUCAACCUCCUACUCAUGUUAUCAAUUUGGAUUAAAGGUUUAAUAUGGUGUAUACGUGAAGGAAACGUUGAUAUACAAGCUAGAGAGAGAGAGAGAGCAUAAGCCAUGGCAUUCGACCAUGGCUAGCAAAAUUGGAGCUCAAAUUUGUUGAUCCAAAAAUCAGUUUUUCUAGGUAUUUCAGCCCUUAGGAAGGUGAUAAUAACGUGGAGAAUUCAUUUGGAGCAACAAGAACAAGUAUUAGUUCAUUUCACAAAUUCUAGCUAAGUGGAAAAAGCCAACUUGUUAAGACCUUGGGGAGCCCGAGGCGUAGAUUGGGAUUUACUUUAGAUUGGCUAUCUUGGAGUGCGUACGAGGUACAGACGCACAGUUUGGUGAUCUACCCAUUUAGGACACCCUCUUCUGCUGUUUGGAGUGCUCUUCUCAUUUCAGAGCACACAUUUUGGUAUAUAUUCGUUCGCUAUGUAUACAUGUAUUUGUUCAGGGGCACGGCGGGGCCCUAUCCCGCCAUAUGAUUCAGUUUGUCUGUUUAGAGGUCUGUAGACGUAUUUGUGGGUGUGUGUGCCUACUUCUGUACGGAUGUGUUUGCAUGACUCUAUUCGUUAUGGCAGCCUCGUCGGCGUGCAUUUUGUAUAUGUUUGUGGCAGCCUUGUCGGCGUGCAUUUGUAUAUGCGUUUUGGGCCGUUGUGCCAUUUGACAGCCUUGUCGGCUUUUGACAUAUUUGAUAGCCUUGCCGGCUUUUUGAUAUAUGUGCAUAUGUUCGGCGAUGUAUAUUCCGCUGCCUCUUCUGAUUCUGAUAUAAUGUUUUGUACGCGCAAUCGCGCAAGAUAAUAUUCGUUCUCAACUCUGUUUAAAAAUGAUGAUUUAGUUUGUAUGUCCGUUUGGGUGCCCAAGUAGGGCACCAGUCGCGGCCCACGGGGCUGGGUCGUGACAAAACCAAUUAUGCAAAAUUAAAGAAUAGAUAUCCAACAUUAUUGUCAUUCCUAAUCGUAAAAUUGAAUUUCUUUUGUUAGCAUUAGUGUUGAGUUGGUUUUGGUUUAGACUUUCUUUGAGUUACUAACAUCUAUGGGAUAUAAAACUUAUUGACAUUCAAAAUUCUAAGUUCAAGUUUGAAAUAAUAUGAUAAUAGACAAAAAAACUACGAAACAAUUUGAGAAAUGUAUAAAUUACAUUACAAAUAAAUAUUUUUAUGUAUAAAAUAAUUUUAAAAUUAAAUAAAUGUAAUGUCAGGUUGGUUUGGUUCGGUAAACCAAACCAAACCAAUUAUGGUCGGAGUUUUUUUUUUAACACCAAACCAAGUCAAACCAAGCCACUAGUCGAUUUUUUUUUUGUUUGACUCGAUUUAUCGAUUUGGUGCGGUUUAUCGGUUUACUUUGUACACCUCUAGUUUUAAUUAUCUAAAAUUAGACUCGGUCCACAACUCACUUACAAAUUUCCCACUGACCAAAUCCCUUUGACGAUAUGCAUACAAUUGAUUAUUCUGGUUUCAAGAUUUGUCCAUAGUUGACCUUUUCAAUUGAUUAUUUAUCUUGUCCACAAUUGUUUUUAAAAAGAAAAUACUAGAUUUUUUAGCUAUAAAUACUCCCUAAGACAACAUACAUCCUCCAAGCAGGGGGAAAAAAAAAAAAAGAAGCA